rnacentral:rRNA from 1 species
GUGGUAAAACCCAUCUAAGGCUAAAUACGGCACGAGACCGAUAGUUCGACAAAGUAACCGUAAGGGAAAGUUAAAAGAACUUGAAGAGAGAGUUCAAGAGGGCGUGAAACCCGUUAGAGGUAAAGCGGGUGGGGUCCGGCGCAUUCUGCCCGGAGGAUUCAACCCGGCGGGUCAGGGUCGGCCGUUCCGGUGUGGUCGGACCCCUCGUGGGACGACCCCCGGUCGGGCUCGCCCCCGCGGGCCAUUUCUCCGUCGGUGGUGCGCCGCGACCGGCUCUGGGUCGGCUUGGAAGGGCUGGGGGCGAGGUGGCUACCGGUUUCGGGAGCUUUACAGCGCCCAGGCGUGGGCUUUACAGCGCCCACUGCUCCGACCUUUACUCGCCUCUUUCCCGGGGCCGAGGACUUAGUACCCGCUGCGUCAUGCCCCCCCUCCGGGGGGGCACGGGGCCCCCUACCCCCGGCGCGACUGUCAACCGGGUCGGAUGUCCUCAGUGCGCAACCCAACCGCGUUGCGGCGCCAGGGCGGGGAUCGGCUCACGUAAACUGGCGCAAGGGGUCAGCGGCGAUGUCGGCAACCCACCCGACCCGUCUGAAACACGGACCAAGGAGUCUAACGCGCGCGCAAGUCAGAGGGUUUUGUCCGAACACACCCCGUGGAGCAAUGAAAGUGAGGGACGGCGCGCGCGGUGAGGUGGGGUCCCGGCCCCGCGGGGCCGGGCGCCUCCCCCGGCCGGCUCGGCCGGCUCUGUCGGGGAGGUGGAGCGUGAGCGGCGGGGAGGUGGAGCGUGAGCGCGUGCGAUAGGACCCGAAAGAUGGUGAACUAUGCUGGGCAGGGAGAAGCCAGAGGAAACUCUGGUGGAGGUCCGUUAGCGGUCCUGACGUGCAAAUCGGUCGUCCGACCUGGGUAUAGGGGCGAAAGACUAAUCGAACAUCAGUAGCUGGUUCCCUCCGAAGUUUCCCUCAGAGGAUAGCGCUGGCGCUCGAAGCUCGCAGUUUUAUCUGGGUAAAGCGAAUGAUUAGAGGCAUUGGGGCGCCGAAACGAUCUCAACCUAUUCUCAAACUUUAAUUGGGUAAGAAGGCCCGGCUCGCUGGCUGGACCGGGCGUGGAAUGUGCGAGCCGCCUAGUGGGCCGCUUUUGUUAAGCAGAACUGGCGCUGCGGAUGAAACCGAACGCCGGGUUAAGGCGCCCGAUGCCGACCUCAUCAGACCCCAGAAAAGGUGUGGGUCGAUAUAGACACAGGACGGUGGCCAUGGAAGUCGAAUCCGCUAAGGAGUGUGUAACAACUCACCUGCCGAAACAACUAGCCCUGAAAAUGGAUGGCGCUGAGCGUCUGAAAAUGGAUGGCGCUGAAGCGGGCGGCCGACACCAUGCCGUCUGGACAAGAAAUGUUUUCAGAUGAGUAGGAGGGCGUGGCGGCCGUGUCGAAGCGCGCUUGCAGAAGCGUGUGGAACGGCCGCUAACGUCGGGCCCAUACCCGGCCGUCGCCGGCCACGAGCGCCUCGAGGGCUACGCCGCGACGAGUAGGAGGGCCGCCGCGGUGAGCACGGAAGCCUAGGGCGUGGGCCCCCGCGGGUGGAGCCGCCGCGGGUGCAGGUCUUGGGUGGUAGUAGCCAAAUUUCAAACGAGAACUUUGAAGGCCGAAGUGGAAGAAGGGUUCCAUGUGAACAGCAGUUGAACAUGGGUCAGUCGGUCCUAAGAGAUGGGCGAACGCCAUUCGGAAGGGAGGGGCGAUUGCCUCCGUCGCCCCGGCCGACGAAAGGGAGUCGGGUUCAGAUCCCCGAAUCCGGGUGGGGAGACGGCCGCCGCGAGGCGUCCAGUGCGGUAACGCCGAGCGUCCAGUGCGGUAACGCACCGAUCCCGGAGAACUGGCGGGGGCCCGGGGAGAGUUCUUUUUCUUUGUGAAGGGCAGGGCACCCUGGAAUGGGUUGCCCCGAGAGAGGGCCCAUGCCCUGGAAGAGGUCGCGGUUCCGGCGGCGUCCGGUGAGCUCUCGCUGGCCCUUGAAAAUCCGGGGGAGAGGGUGUAAAUCUCGCGCGGGCCGUACCCAUAUCCGCAGCAGGUCUCCAAGGGUGAACAGCCUCUGGCAUGUUAGAAAAUGUAGGUAAGGGAAGUGGGCGAGUCAGAUCCGUAACUUCCGGAAUAAGGAUUGGCUCUAAGGGCGGGUCGGUCGGGCUCUAAGGGCUGGGUCGGUCGGGGCGGGGGGAAGCGGGGCUGGGCUCGAGCCGCGGCUGGGGGAGCAGUCGCUCCGCCGCCCUCCCUCACGCCACCGUUGGAAGUUCGCCGCGUGACUCGUCUCGCGGGCUCUCGUGCGUGGUCUCGCAAGGGGCUCGUGCGGUAGUUCGUUGGGGCGGUGUCCUUCGCGUCCCCUAAGACGGACCCGAGGUUGGUCCGCGGUGGCGAAGACGGACCGGCGGGGGGCGGUUGGCGGAGGCGACUUGGCGCGCGCCGGGCCCUUCUCGCGGAUCUCCCAGCGACGGCGCUCGUCGGCCCCUUCGCGCGGGGUCUCCGGCGGGUCGCCUCGGCCGGCGCCUGCAGCUGACUUAGAACUGGUGGCGGACCAGGGGAAUCCGACUGUUUAAUUAAAACAAAGCAUCGCGAAGGCCCGAGGUGGGUGUUGACGCGAUGUGAUUUCCUGCCCAGUGCUCUUGAAUGUCAAAGUGAAGAAAUUCAAUGAAGCGCGGGUAAACGGCGGGAGUAACAUGACUCUCUUAAGGUAGCCAAAUGCCUCGUCAUCUAAUAGUGACGCGCAUGAAUGGAUGAACGAGUCCCACUGUCCUACCUANNNNNNNGGGAGGCCCCGGCCCGCAGGUGAAAAUACCACUACUCUUAUCGUUUUUUCACUUACCCCCCUGUUGAGCUUGACUCUAUUCUAAUUUUGUGAAGCAAGUUGGGAGGCGUAGCAUAGGUGGGAGCGCUUGCGCGUCCGUGAAAUACCACUACUCCCAGUCUUGCUUUACUUACUGGGUUGGUGUGGAUGAGUUUUACGACUCUAUUCUAGAACCAAUGUGCGUUUGUGCAGACCACAGCCCAGCACACAUUUAGGAGGGGAGUUUGGCUGGGGCGGCACAUCUUCUACAAGACAACGAAGGUGUCCAAAGAUGAGCUCAGUGAGAACAGAAAUCUCACGUAGCGCAAAAGGGUAAAAGCUCGUUUGAUUUUGAUUUUCAGUGCGAGUCGAAAACGCGAAAGCGUGGCCUAUCGAUCCUUUCACGAUUCGAGAUUUGANNNNNNNNUUCACGACCUAAUUAGGGAACGUGAGCU